GAUGAAGAACGUAGCGAAACGCGAUAUGUAAUGUGAAUUGCAGAAUUCAGUGAAUCAUCGAAUCUUUGAACGCACAUGGCGCCUUCCAGUAUCCUGGGAGGCAUGCCUGUCCGAGCGUCGUUUCAACCCUCGAGCCCCCGUGGCCCGGCGUUGGGGAUCUGCCCAGGCAGUCCCCGAAAACCAGUGGCGGACCCGUUACAGGCCCUUCCCUUGCGUAGUAGCAUUCGCCUCGCAUCGGGAGCCGGCGGGCUUCCAGCCUCUAAACCCCCAUCAAGUCCGCCCCGGCGGCACCAAGGUUGACCUCGGAUCAGGUAGGAAUACCUGCUGAACUUAAGCAUAUCAAUAAGCGGAGGA
rnacentral:misc_RNA from 1 species